CGAGCGCAGGAAGCUGACGGAACUCUUCGGAGGGAAGGCAGUGGAAUGAGCGGCGGACGGGUGAGUAACACGUAAGGAACCUGCCUCAAGGAUUGGGAUAACUCCGAGAAAUCGGAGCUAAUACCGGAUAGUUCAACGGACCGCAUGGUCCGCUGAUGAAAGGCGCUCCGGCGUCACCUUGAGAUGGCCUUGCGGUGCAUUAGCUAGUUGGUGGGGUAACGGCCCACCAAGGCGACGAUGCAUAGCCGACCUGAGAGGGUGAUCGGCCACACUGGGACUGAGACACGGCCCAGACUCCUACGGGAGGCAGCAGUAGGGAAUCUUCCACAAUGGACGAAAGUCUGAUGGAGCAACGCCGCGUGAGUGAUAAAGGUUUUCGGAUCGUAAAACUCUGUUGUAAGGGAAGAACACGUACGAGAGGGAAUGCUCGUACCUUGACGGUACCUUACGAGAAAGCCACGGCUAACUACGUGCCAGCAGCCGCGGUAAUACGUAGGUGGCAAGCGUUGUCCGGAAUUAUUGGGCGUAAAGCGCGCGCAGGCGGCCUCUUAAGUCUGAUGUGAAAGCCCCCGGCUCAACCGGGGAGGGCCAUUGGAAACUGGGAGGCUUGAGUACAGAAGAGAAGAGUGGAAUUCCACGUGUAGCGGUGAAAUGCGUAGAGAUGUGGAGGAACACCAGUGGCGAAGGCGACUCUUUGGUCUGUAACUGACGCUGAGGCGCGAAAGCGUGGGGGAGCAAACAGGAUUAGAUACCCUGGUAGUCCACGCCGUAAAC
rnacentral:rRNA from 1 species